GAUACCCGAAUGGGGAAACCCAGUGUGAUUCGUCACACUAUCAUUAACUGAAUCCAUAGGUUAAUGAGGCGAACCGGGGGAACUGAAACAUCUAAGUACCCCGAGGAAAAGAAAUCAACCGAGAUUCCCCCAGUAGCGGCGAGCGAACGGGGAGGAGCCCAGAGCCUGAAUCAGCAUGUGUGUUAGUGGAAGCGUCUGGAAAGGCGCGCGAUACAGGGUGACAGCCCCGUACACAAAAGCGCAUGUGCUGUGAGCUCGAUGAGUAGGGCGGGACACGUGGUAUCCUGUCUGAAUAUGGGGGGACCAUCCUCCAAGGCUAAAUACUCCUGACUGACCGAUAGUGAACCAGUACCGUGAGGGAAAGGCGAAAAGAACCCCGGCGAGGGGAGUGAAAAAGAACCUGAAACCGU
rnacentral:rRNA from 2 species